rnacentral:rRNA from 1 species
UACAGAGGGUGUAAACGUUGUUCGGAAUUACUGGGCGUAAAGCGCGUGCAGGCGGCCUUGCAAGUCAGACGUGAAAUCCCUCGGCUUAACCGGGGAACUGCGUCUGAUACUGGAUGGCUUGAGAUUGGGAGAGGGAUGCGGAAUUCCAGGUGUAGCGGUGAAAUGCGUAGAUAUCUGGAGGAACACCGGUGGCGAAGGCGACAUCCUGGACCAACACUGACGCUGAGGAGCGAAAGCCAGGGGAGCAAACGGG